CAGUAGCCAGGUAAUACGGAGGGAGCUAGCGUUGUUCGGAAUUACUGGGCGUAAAGCGCGCGUAGGCGGUUACUCAAGUCAGAGGUGAAAGCCCGGGGCUCAACCCCGGAACUGCCUUUGAAACUAGGUGACUAGAAUCUUGGAGAGGUCAGUGGAAUUCCGAGUGUAGAGGUGAAAUUCGUAGAUAUUCGGAAGAACACCAGUGGCGAAGGCGACUGACUGGACAAGUAUUGACGCUGAGGUGCGAAAGCGUGGGGAGCAAACAGGAUUAGAUACCCGGGUAGUCCCUGUCUCUUAUACA
rnacentral:rRNA from 1 species